GGGGGAGGAGGAGGAGGGGAGGGAGAACAAUGAGGAACCUCGUUCGGUUUCUUGAGCCAGAAGAGAGCCAGGACUGCAGGGCUGCUCAAUUGGGAAACUGGACAGGGGAUUGGAUGGGGGAAGGAGAACAGGCACAUUCCGAUCAGAGACGACAAAAUCCCGCUCACGUAUCUGAAAUGGAAAAACUAAAGUGUGAAGGGGACACAACCCUCCCCCUUCAGAAGGAGCUGGGGCCCAGAUUGUGGCCUAAAUCCUUAAUAGGUCUAUUAUUUCAUGGUCAUAAAUGGAUCCCUUAUUCUGGUUACAGCCUGAAAAUGACCACUUGGGGUCUGAGCAGGAAUUCAAAUUUCUAUUUUGCUGUAGAGCCGUUAAAAGAAUGAACUUGGGGUCAGGCGCCCCUCGGUCUGAAUCCUGGCUCUGACCCUCAUUCGCUGAGUGGCCUUGCCCAAAUAAUUCAACCUCUCUGACCCUGAGCCUCUUUGUUAGGGAAAUGGGAGACUAAAUGAGAUCCAGGGGGCAAGCUGCCAGAAGGGCCCUGUGUGUCCAGGCUUCAAAACUGGCAGAGUUCACAUCCCUGCUGUGCCAGUUACUGGUGGUGUGACCUUGGGUGAGUCACUAAGUCACCCAAUCCCUAGGCCUCAGUGUCCUCCUCAAGUCCCUGUGUUGGCUCUGUCUGUCAGGCAGUUAGAAUAGGGGCUGGCUCCUAAUAAGCUCUGAGUUCAGCCGAUUUAGUAAUCUCUUGACUCCAUGCGUGGUGUGGCGGGAUAUGUGGCGGGUAUAGCAGCAACCAUGACAUCAUUGUCUAGGAUAUUAUUAUCUAGGCUUGGCAUCAGGAAGGGAGAGGCCAGCUGUCCUCAUUAGAGUGUCCUAGUAGCAAAAAAAAAAAAAGUUCGCCGCCCCUGCCCUAGAGCCUUAUAUCACUGACUGCUAGAAAUGGGGUCUUUUUGAAGAAAUACAGAGUCUCAGGCUCAUUCUAGAUUUACUGAAUCAGCAUCCGCAUUUUAACAAGAACCCCAGGUGAUUGUGUAGAUGUUAAGUCUCGUGAAGCAGCGAACUAAAGCACCUAGGGGGGAGGGAUCAGAUGUAUUCCUGGCGUUCCCUAUGAGGUGGUACCCUCCUGCGAAGCCCUGGCACCCUUCGUGCAGCCUUUACCCCUGUUACCAUUGCCAAUGUACUUGACUGUCUCCCUUGCUAGCUUGUGGGAAACUUGGGGCCAAAUCUGCCUCAGCUACCACUGAGAGAUGGUAUGUGCGGUGAUGAAGAACGCUGGCUUUGGACCUGGACUGUGGCACCCUGAUCCCACCUCUGUCGCUUACUAGCUGUGACUGUGGGAUCAACGGUUGGAGGAGGGAAAUGAGAGGAUCUCCGUACUAAGUCCUUGGCUUCUACUUCCAUGUACCCUUCUCGAGGUAAUUGGAAAUGCGGAUUUCUGAUUCUCUGCCCUCCCAGGCAGUGCAGCCACCAGGGAAUAGCACGCAGCAUGUUACAAAUGGCAGAGAAUGUUCGAGGCACACCAUUUCUGGACAAAAACACUGACUGCAGAAGGAUAAUGAAAGCAUCUUACAGAGGGCUGCAUCGGUGUCUAUGAUCUUGAAUCGUCCUGGCAAGCUUGGACGCCUCUCUGCCUCCUAACCUGAGACAGUGGUAACUCUGGACCUGGUUUCCCCCAAGAACUUUGAGCUGAGGUUUCCUUACUGGGUCCUCUGCCUGGUGGUGAGAACUUUGAGGGUCAUUAUACUAUGUUAUUCAUCGCUGUGUUCACGGAGCUUUGGCCAGGGCCUGACACAUAGUAGGUAUCAGUAAAUGUCAAUGUGAAUUGAAUUUAGCAAGGAUCUGCAGCUCUGCAAAGACAGGACACUUCUUAGAAACCACUGUGGGAUAAAUUGAGGGGCAGGGACUGGAAGAUAAGGAUUCUGAAGUAAUGACAGUAAUAGUUUGUCAGCCUCUGAGCAAGGCCCAUAACGUGCAUUAUCCAUCAUCCCCACAUUACAGAUGAGGAAACUGAAGCCUCAGUGAAGUAACUUGCUAAAGAUCAAACAACUCAUUAAUCAGUACAUAGUGGAGCCAGAUGAAUGCACUUUUUUUUUUCCUAUUUCCUUCAUUUACUCCACUAAUGAUAGUACUUAGACUGGAGACUAGAAAUUAAAAUCCAGGUAAUCUGACAUGAGAGGGCAGAAUCUUUGUGUUUGAAAUGCCUGCAAGUUCGUAGAGUGGAAGCAGCAGUCUUGUGGUGCUCCAGUAAAUGGGAGGAGCCAUGAGCAGGUGGAUGUUAACUCAUUGUGAGAACUUUCCAAUAAUGAAAGCGGGGUCACAUGGAAUCAAUGGAUGCUAUUGAAUAACUUUAAAAAAUUGUGUUCCAGGGAAUUUUAGACUUAUAUCCCUGGGGGAAAAAUAGUAUGAGCAAGGUAGAGAAUUCUGAUAUCAAAUAGUUUGAGAAGCCAUAUCCAAUGUUCCUUCUUGAAGAUCACAAUGCACCUUAGCCCAUGAAGUACUCAGAGACAUCCUGAGACAGGAAUGAUUGACUUUCUUGAACCCAGUGUUUCCCACAUUUAUUUGACUAGUGAACGUGUGUUUCAAGUAAUGUUUUUAACAUUCCGUGGAACUACUAUUACACUGAAACUCUGCUGGGGAAGAUGGGCCUGGAACACACCCUCGGUGCUCCUUCCUGCCCUGUGCUCCAGUGAGUAUGCUGUGGAGCUCUGUGACACAAAAGUCCCACUUAGCCAAUUUGUAAUGAUUUCCUAAAUUGGACAAAUAACCUCAUCCAAAUGGCCGGGGUGAUAAGCUCCCAGGAGGAGAAGGUGGCUGAGGAAGCGCUAUGUACCUGGCUGCACGUGGGUACCUCCAGUAAGGAGGUGCUGAUAGCAAUGUUUUUCUUGGGUGUUUGAAUUUUUCAUCCCACAUUUAUGUCUUAAACCACAGAUAAAAUUCACAUCCACAUUUCACUCAAGAUAAACCUAACAUAAUAAUAAUACAAAAAGAUUAAUUCUUUGGGGAAAAAUAGAGGGGAACAUGGCCUCAGCUUAGAAAGAGUCAACACUCAAGACUUGGAGAAUGCGUUUUCUGCAGGACUGCACUCCACACCGGCGUGGGAAACUGUGUGCAGUGCUCUUUAGCACACGCAUGUCUGUGCAUGUGCCAUAACACGCUGCCAUUCACAUACCCACAAGUGUGACUGCCAGAGGUCCACUUUGAAAGCCCCUAACCUCAAGGUCCAGCCCACCACUUCGGACUCACUGUAGUCUUUUCUCUGAAGUCUUUCCUGACCAUGUAGGCAUAACUAACUUUUCUCUUCUACAUCAUCUUGGA